GUUUGCAGCGUUGGUUUAUUAGCUGUAUUUACAGUGUCCUGCAAAAAAAACAAGAGGCAGCAAACAUUUCCAAAUGUUGCUGGAAUGCAAAUGAAAUGGUCACAUCUCUUCAGUUAGGGCAUCAGGUGGUGUGGUGGUUAGUGCCAUCACAGGACCCAGGCUUGAAUCCCAUGUCCUUCUGCAAUACCCUUGGUCAAAGUUACCCAGCUGUAUAAAUCAUUGUACUCUAAGUAUUCAUCCAUCGUCAACAACCGCUUGUCCCAAGCAGGGUCGCGGCAAGCUGGAGCGUUACCCAGCAGCGCAGGGCCGAGGGGACGCACCUAGGACGGGACGCCAGACCGUCACAAGGCACUCCAAGCAGGGCUUGAACCCCAGACCCGCCGGACAGCAGGCACUGGCCAAACUUGCCACGCCACCGUGUCCCCCGGCACUGCAAACCGGAGCCUAACCCAGCAACACAGGGCGCAAGGCGGGACACCAGUUCAUCACAAGGCACCCCAACCAGGACUCCAACUCUAGACCCGCCAGAGAGCAGGACCUGACCAAACCCGCUGUGCCACCGCACUGCCACGCCCCCUUCUCAUUUAUACAG
rnacentral:lncRNA from 1 species